UCUUAUAAUGGUGGGGAAUAUGAUCAUGCACAUUUUGUAGAUAUUUUCAGGAACAUAGGUUGUAUCAUGAGACACCUUGUUCUCAAACACUGCAGCAGAACGAUGUUGUAGGGCGAAAGAAUAUGCACAUCUUACAAAAUAACUCGAGCUCUCUUGACAAAUAGCAUAACUACUUAAACAUUUUUGGACAGAUGUAGUGAUGACUGCUAUAUUGUAAC
rnacentral:lncRNA from 1 species